UGAGUAACCUGCCCUUAACUCUGGGAUAAGCCUGGGAAACUGGGUCUAAUACCGGAUAUGACUCCUCAUCGCAUGGUGGGGGGUGGAAAGCUUUAUUGUGGUUUUGGAUGGACUCGCGGCCUAUCAGCUUGUUGGUGAGGUAAUGG
rnacentral:rRNA from 1 species